AGAGUUUGAUCCUGGCUCAGGACGAACGCUGGCGGCGUGCUUAACACAUGCAAGUCGAACGGAAAGGCCCUUCGGGGUACUCGAGUGGCGAACGGGUGAGUAACACGUGGGUGAUCUGCCCUGCACUUUGGGAUAAGCCUGGGAAACUGGGUCUAAUACCGAAUAUGACCACGCUCUUCAUGGGGUGUGGUGGAAAGCUUUUGCGGUGUGGGAUGGGCCCGCGGCCUAUCAGCUUGUUGGUGGGGUAAUGGCCUACCAAGGCGACGACGGGUAGCCGGCCUGAGAGGGUGACCGGCCACACUGGGACUGAGAUACGGCCCAGACUCCUACGGGAGGCAGCAGUGGGGAAUAUUGCACAGUGGGCGCAAGCCUGAUGCAGCGACGCCGCGUGAGGGAUGACGGCCUUCGGGUUGUAAACCUCUUUCACCAGGGACGAAGCGCAAGUGACGGUACCUGGAGAAGAAGCACCGGCCAACUACGUGCCAGCAGCCGCGGUAAUACGUAGGGUGCGAGCGUUGUCCGGAAUUACUGGGCGUAAAGAGCUCGUAGGUGGUUUGUCGCGUUGUUCGUGAAAACUCACAGCUUAACUGUGGGCGUGCGGGCGAUACGGGCAGACUAGAGUACUGCAGGGGAGACUGGAAUUCCCGGUGUAGCGGUGGAAUGCGCAGAUAUCAGGAGGAACACCGGUGGCGAAGGCGGGUCUCUGGGCAGUAACUGACGCUGAGGAGCGAAAGCGUGGGGAGCGAACAGGAUUAGAUACCCUGGUAGUCCAA
rnacentral:rRNA from 1 species